GAUGAACGCUGGCGGCGUGCCUAAUACAUGCAAGUCGAGCGAACGGACGGGAAGCUUGCUUUUCUGAUGUUAGCGGCGGACGGGUGAGUAACACGUGGAUAACCUACCUAUAAGACUGGGAUAACUUCGGGAAACCGGAGCUAAUACCGGAUAAUAUUUUGAACCGCAUGGUUCAAAAGUGAAAGACGGUCUUGCUGUCACUUAUAGAUGGAUCCGCGCUGCAUUAGCUAGUUGGUAAGGUAACGGCUUACCAAGGCAACGAUGCAUAGCCGACCUGAGAGGGUGAUCGGCGACACUGGAACUGAGACACGGUCCAGACUCCUACGGGAGGCAGCAGUGGGGAAUCUUCCGCAAAGGGCGAAAGCCUGACGGAGCAACGCCGCGUGAGUGAUGAAGGUCUUCGGAUCGUAAAACUCUGUUAUUAGGGAAGAACAUAUGUGUAAGUAACUGUGCACAUCUUGACGGUACCUAAUCAGAAAGCCACGGCUAACUACGUG
rnacentral:rRNA from 1 species